rnacentral:rRNA from 1 species
AUAAUAAGACUGUUCUUUAAUAGUUUUCGGUUGGGGCGACCCUGGAGAAAAAUAAAUCCUCCAGAUUGAAAAAUAACCCUUAUAUAAGAACCACAAUUCAAAUAAACAAAAAUUUGACAAAACUGACCCAGAAUAACUGAUCAGUGAACCAAGUUACCCUAGGGAUAACAGCGCUAUCCAUUUUGAGAGUCCGUAUUGACAAAUGGGUUUACGACCUCGAUGUUGGAUCGGGGUAUCCCAGCAGCGCAGCAGUUGCUAAUGGUUCGUUUGUUCAACGACUAACACCCCACGUGAUCUGG